CCUACGGGAGGCAGCAGUGAGGAAUAUUGGUCAAUGGACGGAAGUCUGAACCAGCCAUGCCGCGUGCAGGAAGACGGCUCUAUGAGUUGUAAACUGCUUUUGUACAAGGGUAAACCUGAAUACGUGUAUUCAGCUGAAAGUACUGUACGAAUAAGGAUCGGCUAACUCCGUGCCAGCAGCCGCGGUAAUACGGAGGAUCCAAGCGUUAUCCGGAUUUAUUGGGUUUAAAGGGUGCGUAGGCGGAUUGAUAAGUUAGAGGUGAAAUGUCCGAGCUUAACUCGGGAACUGCCGCUAAUACUGUUGAUCUAGAGAGUAGAUGCGGUAGGCGGAAUGUAUGGUGUAGCGGUGAAAGGCUUAGAGAUCAUACAGAACACCGAUUGCGAAGGCAGCUUACCAAUCUAUAUCUGACGUUGAGGCACGAAAGCGUGGGGAGCAAACAGGAUUAGAUACCCGUGUAGUC
rnacentral:rRNA from 1 species